GCAAGGACUAGUUAAGGUGGAAAGAUGGAUGUGAAUCCUUUCAGAGAAAGAAAACAGAAGACACUGGGCCACAUGGGGACUCGGGGGGAACCCUAAAACAAAAUCCCCAGGAGACAAUUUAUUGUGGGCUUUCCCUGUGUAAGGAAUGGUGCGAGCGUGCGUCUGUCUAGACAGUGGGUCACCUCCUCUGUCGUGUGGGGCUGUCAGCUGCUGGGAGGAAGGUGAGUCACUGCUUCUUAGUCACCAGCCCCUGACCAGCCCGGCCGGCCCGUGACAGUGUGUGCGUCUGUGAUUGUCUAUGCAGGUCUUUCUUGAAGAAGAGGAAAGACUGAUUCCCUAGCAGGGCGGCCGGUGGGGGGUGGGGGGAUGGGGGGGAGGGGAGGAGGGGGAAAGGGGGGAGAGAGAAGCCGGCAGGAAAUGGUUCUGGCAGGCUCAGAGCCAUCAGCACUUGCCAAAGGGAGUGGGGAGGCAUCACGCAAGGAAGAGCCAGGACAGCAAGUUAUCUGUUGAUGAGAAGGGAGAACAUUCUCCACAAGAGAUCUGGAAGCCAUUAGGGCCUGGCAGAGGUGCCGGGUAGCAACCGAAAACCAGGCACACGUGACUCGGGGUGCGAUGACCUUCCUCUCAGAGAUGGCUCAGAGGGCAGGCCUUGGCCUUCUCCAAGGCCUGGCGGGGGGCAGCCCAUUCCCAGGAGGGCCCAGACCUGGAUGCAGAUGAGGCGGCCUGGCCCUGACUGUGGUCUGGGCACCUCUCCAUCUCCUCUGGGGCCUCAGGGCCACCAAGAAGGACACUGAGGAUGGGGUCUGAAGGUUGAAGCUGCUUGAAGGCAGGGCAAGGCUACCUCCCACCCCUCCCUGCCUCCUCUGCAGGACCCCAGGAGGAAACACACCAGCUUCUUCAAUAAACAAGACCCAGUUCCUCCAAGCUGGCGGUACCGGAGCAGGUUGCUGAAGAGAGCCCUCCGCAUGUCCACGGCCAUGCGCUCGCCGAUGCGGGACAGCAGCACCAGGUACCCGAAGGUCAGCAGUCCCUGAGGGAGAGGCCCAGCACUCAGCGGUGCCCAGGCGGCUCCUCUCUGUGCCCCCAGGCCCUCCCUCCUGCUGUACCUGGAUGCCGUAGAGGAUGAGCAGGACCAGCAGGUGGGGACGCAGAAACUGCCAGAAGAGCUUCCAGUUAAAGCGGGACUCCGUGACACAGGGUCUGGAGCAGGCAGGAGGGGCCUCUUCUGCCUCACACAGCGCCACAAGACAGAGGCGGGGG